CUACAGAGUACCUGCUUACUGCUCUAAAAUUUUACUGUAUACAAGUUCUGGAGAAGCUGAGUGAGGCCAUGUCUGUUACCAGGAGACAUGAGACUCACAGCAGAUCUCUCUGGCUUAACAUGGGAGACGGCGGUACAACACUUUUGCUCCAGCCUGUCCCAGGAAUAUUUUUACACAGGCAAAUCUGCAGCCUGAAGAUGACAGCAGCAAAGCUAGUCAUUAACCAAGAAGACCAAGAGUUCUAGCUUUCAAUCAUCUUUAAAAAGAUCUCAUGUUAAUUGACCACAGUAAUUUUCCCUUAUCUUUCUCUGCUUAGAUAAUCACUCAAGGAGCUCAAUUUUUGUGAUCACAAAAAGAAAAAUAUUUUUUAUCAGUUCCAAUAAUCAUCUUUAAGAUAAUGCUUCUUUCUUUUUCCACUUGACCUUCCAAGUUUUUACUACUUAUUUUGGGGAUGAGCAUGCAGGUAUUGGCAUGUCACCUGGUUUUAGAAGUUCUAAAUUUUUACUCUGAGUGCUUUAAGAAAACUGACACAUUGAAAGGUGAUUUAUUUAGCUAUUGAAAUGGCCUGUGUUUUUCUGAAGUAUGUUUUUAAAUGUAUUUCUUUCUCAUUUUUGUUGAGUUAUUAUCCUUUUCAUAUUUUGACUGAAGAUAAAUUUGAUUUUGUCUUGAAGAUAAAUUUUGAUUCAUGGAGGAUAGUUCAGAGCUAUGUUACCAACUUGUAGCUUGAAAAAGAAUUUUUGAAAACUUCCUUUUUGUUUCUGGUCCAAUAUCCAAUAUCACUUUUUCUUACUCCAUCUCUUACUCAUGUCCUGGUUAUUUAUACAGUCACAUAAUUCCAUUCAUGCCAAAAAGAUUUUUUAUUAAAAAAGUUAGAAUGAUUAAUUUUAUUCCUUAUACCCUCUUUCUCCCAUCUCAUUGUGGUAUCCAUCUUCUAUGGGACUGUUACAUAUACAUCUAGGAAACAGUUUAUCUCAGGAUGAGGGCAAACUUCUCAAUAUAUUUUACUCCAUUGUUACUCCCACCUUGAACCCAUCCAUCUAAGAAACAAGGAGUUCAAGUGGGCCAUGAAAAGGCUGAUUGGGAAAGAAAAAGGUUCUGGAGACACAACAGGUCACUAACAUCUUUUUACAAGAAAUUUCCAAUAAAGAAAUUAUCUUUGUUUAACCUCUAAAUUAUAGUCAACUUAUUUUAGUAGUAGUCAUCAUCUGAAAAAG
rnacentral:lncRNA from 1 species